GUUUGGUUAAGUUAGAAAGGGCGCACGGUGGAUGCCUUGACACUAGGAGUCGAUGAAGGACGGGACUAACGCCGAUAUGCUUCGGGGAGCUGUAAGUAAGCUUUGAUCCGAAGAUUUCCGAAUGGGGAAACCCACCAUACGUAAUGGUAUGGUAUCCUUAUCUGAAUACAUAGGGUAAGGAAGACAGACCCAGGGAACUGAAACAUCUAAGUACCUGGAGGAAGAGAAAGCAAAUGCGAUUUCCUGAGUAGCGGCGAGCGAAACGGAACAUAGCCCAAACCAAGAGGCUUGCCUCUUGGGGUUGUAGGACAUUCUAUACGGAGUUACAAAGGAACGAGGUAGACGAAGCGACCUGGAAAGGUCCGUCGUAGAGGGUAACAACCCCGUAGUCGAAACUUCGUUCUCUCUUGAAUGUAUCCUGAGUACGGCGGAACACGUGAAAUUCCGUCGGAAUCUGGGAGGACCAUCUCCCAAGGCUAAAUACUCCCUAGUGAUCGAUAGUGAACCAGUACCGUGAGGGAAAGGUGAAAAGCACCCCGGAAGGGGAGUGAAAGAGAUCCUGAAACCGUGUGCCUACAAAUAGUCAGAGCCCGUUAACGGGUGAUGGCGUGCCUUUUGUAGAAUGAACCGGCGAGUUACGAUCCCGUGCGAGGUUAAGCUGAAGAGGCGGAGCCGCAGCGAAAGCGAGUCUGAAUAGGGCGUUUAGUACGUGGUCGUAGACCCGAAACCAGGUGAUCUACCCAUGUCCAGGGUGAAGUUCAGGUAACACUGAAUGGAGGCCCGAACCCACGCACGUUGAAAAGUGCGGGGAUGAGGUGUGGGUAGCGGAGAAAUUCCAAUCGAACCUGGAGAUAGCUGGUUCUCCCCGAAAUAGCUUUAGGGCUAGCCUUAAGUGUAAGAGUCUUGGAGGUAGAGCACUGAUUGGACUAGGGGUCCUCAUCGGAUUACCGAAUUCAGUCAAACUCCGAAUGCCAAUGACUUAUCCUUAGGAGUCAGACUGCGAGUGAUAAGAUCCGUAGUCAAAAGGGAAACAGCCCAGACCGCCAGCUAAGGUCCCAAAGUGUGUAUUAAGUGGAAAAGGAUGUGGAGUUGCUUAGACAACUAGGAUGUUGGCUUAGAAGCAGCCACCAUUUAAAGAGUGCGUAAUAGCUCACUAGUCGAGUGACUCUGCGCCGAAAAUGUACCGGGGCUAAAUACACCACCGAAGCUGCGGAUUGAUACCNNNNNNNNNNNNNNNNNNNNNNNNNNNNNNNNNNNNNNNNNNNNNNNNNNAAGGACUGGUGGAGUGCUUAGAAGUGAGAAUGCCGGUAUGAGUAGCGAAAGACGGGUGAGAAUCCCGUCCACCGAAUGCCUAAGGUUUCCUGAGGAAGGCUCGUCCGCUCAGGGUUAGUCAGGACCUAAGCCGAGGCCGACAGGCGUAGGCGAUGGACAACAGGUUGAUAUUCCUGUACCACCUCUUUAUCGUUUGAGCAAUGGAGGGACGCAGAAGGAUAGAAGAAGCGUGCGAUUGGUUGUGCACGUCCAAGCAGUUAGGCUGAUAAGUAGGCAAAUCCGCUUAUCNNNNNNNNNNNNNNNNNNNNNNNNNNNNNNNNNNNNNNNNNNNNNNNNNNCUUAUGGAGCGAAGUCUUUGAUUCCCCGCUGCCAAGAAAAGCUUCUAGCGAGAUAAAAGGUGCCUGUACCGCAAACCGACACAGGUAGGCGAGGAGAGAAUCCUAAGGUGUGCGAGAGAACUCUGGUUAAGGAACUCGGCAAAAUGACCCCGUAACUUCGGGAGAAGGGGUGCUUUCUUAACGGAAAGCCGCAGUGAAUAGGCCCAAGCGACUGUUUAGCAAAAACACAGCUCUCUGCGAAGCCGUAAGGCGAAGUAUAGGGGGUGACACCUGCCCGGUGCUGGAAGGUUAAGGAGAGGGGUUAGCGUAAGCGAAGCUCUGAACUGAAGCCCCAGUAAACGGCGGCCGUAACUAUAACGGUCCUAAGGUAGCGAAAUUCCUUGUCGGGUAAGUUCCGACCCGCACGAAAGGUGUAACGAUUUGGGCACUGUCUCAACCAGAGACUCGGUGAAAUUAUAGUACCUGUGAAGAUGCAGGUUACCCGCGACAGGACGGAAAGACCCCGUGGAGCUUUACUGUAGCCUGAUAUUGAAUUUUGGUACAGUUUGUACAGGAUAGGCGGGAGCCAUUGAAAC
rnacentral:rRNA from 1 species